ensembl:misc_RNA Y_RNA Y RNA
GGCUGGUCCGAAGGUCAGGAGUUACUUCAAUUGAUUGUUCACAGUCAGUUACAGGUCAAACUCCUUGUUCUACCCUUUCCCCACUUCUCACUACUACACUUUACUAGUCUUUA